rnacentral:rRNA from 1 species
UACAGAGGGUGCGAACGUUGCUCGGAAUUACUGGGCGUAAAGCGCGUGUAGGCGGGUCCGCAAGUCAGAUGUGAAAUCCCCGGGCUCAACUCGGGAACUGCAUCUGAAACUGCGAGCCUUGAGUACCGGAGAGGGUGGCGGAAUUCCUGGUGUAGAGGUGAAAUUCGUAGAUAUCAGGAGGAACACCGGUGGCGAAGGCGGCCACCUGGACGGUAACUGACGCUGAGACGCGAAAGCGUGGGGAGCGAACAGG